ACAGUUUCAGUAUAAUAUAUAUAUUUAAUUUCCAAUUAGAAGCCCCUACAAAAGUAGGAAACUGUA
rnacentral:tRNA from 1 species